GACGAACGCUGGCGGCGUGCUUAACACAUGCAAGUCGAACGGAAAGGCCCUGCUUUUGUGGGGUGCUCGAGUGGCGAACGGGUGAGUAACACGUGAGUAACCUGCCCUUGACUUUGGGAUAACUUCAGGAAACUGGGGCUAAUACCGGAUAGGAGCUCCUGCUGCAUGGUGGGGGUUGGAAAGUUUCGGCGGUUGGGGAUGGAUUCGCGGCUUAUCAGCUUGUUGGUGGGGUAGUGGCUUACCAAGGCUUUGACGGGUAGCCGGCCUGAGAGGGUGACCGGCCACAUUGGGACUACGAUACGGACCAGACUCCUACGGGAGGCAGCAGGGGGGAAUAUUGCAGAAUGGGCGGAAGCCUGAUGCAGCAACGCCGCGUGCGGGAUGACGGCCUUCGGGUUGUAAACAGCUUUCGCCUGUGACGAAGCGUGAGUGACGGUAAUGGGUAAAGAAGCACCGGCUAACUACGUG
rnacentral:rRNA from 1 species